UUAGAGGAAGUAAAAGUCGUAACAAGGUUCCGUAGGUGAACCUGCGGAAGGAUCAUUACCGAGCUCAUGCCCCCCGGGGUAGACCUCCACCCGUGCCUAUCUCAUAGUGUUGCUUUGGCGGUUGCCCCCAACCGCCAGAGCCCAAACCCUGAAAUUAGUGUCGUCCGAGUACUAUACAAUAGUUAAAACUUUCAACAACGGAUCUCUUGGUUCUGGCAUCGAUGAAGAACGCAGCGAAAUGCGAUAAGUAAUGUGAAUUGCAGAAUUCAGUGAAUCAUCGAAUCUUUGAACGCACAUUGCGCCCGGUGGUAUUCCGCCGGGCAUGCCUAUUCGAGCGUCAUUACAACCCUCACGCCCCGCGUGGUCUUGGGCCGAGCCCCCCGGGCUGGCUUCAAAAGCAGUGGCGGUGCCUCUGGGUCCUGAGCGUAGUAACACUUCCGCUACAGGGCUCCCGAGCGUGCUGGCCGAACCCCAACUCUUUCAGGUUGACCUCGGAUUAGGUAGGGAUACCCGCUGAACUUAA
rnacentral:rRNA from 1 species